AGAGACAACAGUGAAUGACAAGGAGGGGCCAUCCAAUCCCUGCUGCCACCUCCUGGGAUGGAGCCCUAGGGAGCCCCUGUGCUGCCCCUGCCGUGGCAGGACUCACAGCCCCACCGCUGCACUGAAGCCCAGGGCUGUGGAGCAGCCUCUCUCCUUGGACCUCCUCUCGGCCCUAAAGGGACUGGGCAGAGCCUUCCAGGACUAUGGUUGGACUGAAGCCUUCAGACGUGCCUCCCACCAUGGCUGUGAAGUUCCUGGGGGCAGGCACAGCAGCCUGUUUUGCUGACCUCGUUACCUUUCCACUGGACACAGCCAAGGUCCGCCUGCAGAUCCAGGGGGAGAACCAGGCGGUCCAGACGGCCCGGCUCGUGCAGUACCGUGGCGUGCUGGGCACCAUCCUGACCAUGGUGCGGACUGAGGGUCCCUGCAGCCCCUACAAUGGGCUGGUGGCCGGCCUGCAGCGCCAGAUGAGCUUCGCCUCCAUCCGCAUCGGCCUCUAUGACUCCGUCAAGCAGGUGUACACCCCCAAAGGCGCGGACAACUCCAGCCUCACUACCCGGAUUUUGGCCGGCUGCACCACAGGAGCCAUGGCGGUGACCUGUGCCCAGCCCACAGAUGUGGUGAAGGUCCGAUUUCAGGCCAGCAUACACCUCGGGCCAUCCAGGAGCGACAGAAAAUACAGCGGGACUAUGGACGCCUACAGAACCAUCGCCAGGGAGGAAGGAGUCAGGGGCCUGUGGAAAGGAACUUUGCCCAACAUCAUGAGGAAUGCUAUCGUCAACUGUGCUGAGGUGGUGACCUACGACAUCCUCAAGGAGAAGCUGCUGGACUACCACCUGCUCACUGACAACUUCCCCUGCCACUUUGUCUCUGCCUUUGGAGCCGGCUUCUGUGCCACAGUGGUGGCCUCCCCGGUGGACGUGGUGAAGACCCGGUAUAUGAACUCACCUCCAGGCCAGUACUUCAGCCCCCUCGACUGUAUGAUAAAGAUGGUGGCCCAGGAGGGCCCCACAGCCUUCUACAAGGGGUGAGCCUCCUCCUGCCUCCAGCACUCCCUCCCAGAGAACAGGGGCUUCUUUCUUUUCGAAUGUGGCUACCGUGGGUCAACCUGGGAUGUAGCGGUGAAGAGUACAGAUGUAAAUGCCACAAAGAAGAAGUUUAAAAAACCAUGCAAGUAAAAGAAAAAAAGUGAACCAUACCUGAUGGGGAGGGUUAGGGAAGCCUGACUGAGAACAAACACUCCAGGAAUAGGUAAAAGUACUGCCUGUCUCCAGAGGAAGUUAGCAAUCCUGAGACCUCCUGGACCUCCUGCCAUGGCCAUUGAGCACCACACUGACCAUGGCCAGUGCCUUCCUCACUGUCUCCACACGCUCCACGUUUUCUUGCACUUACUGCUCCCUCUGCGUGGAAUGCCUCAUCAUCUACAGGCUGUCAAUUUUAGCCAUCCUUCAAGACGAGUUCAAAUGCCACCUCCUCCCUAACACUCUCAGGUGUAAAUUUUUCCUCCUCCCUGGGAACUUCUGCAAUGCCAUUUGAUACCAUUUUUAUGGUAUUUAUCACCUCCUGCCUUGUAUUAUAGUAUUUGUAAGCUUAAAUUAUUCCUCAUGCAAAGAGCAAGUUCCUGACAGCAAAAGUGGCUCAGACAUCUUUUAUCUCCCACAGUCCCUCACACAAAGUGAGCACUCGAUAAUGCAGGUUGUUUAUGAUUAUCACAAUAGCUAAGUCACUCUAUAUUAGGCCUCGUGCUGAGCACUUUACACACGUUAUCCCAACAGCCCCUUGAACUGGGUAGUAUUGUCCACAUUAACUAAGGAAAAGACUGAGUGUCAGAAAAGUUAAGUAACUUAUCCAAGAUCACAGGUUAAAAUGGUGGAGCCAUGGCUCAAACCCUGACCGUCAGACACCACACCCAACAAUGUUGUUUAUCCUACUGGUAAGCUCUUAGCUUGGCCCUUUCACCUCCCACUGCUGAUGUCUUCAACAGAGAGUUUUUUGGUGCCCAGUGUUAGAAUGGACCCAACAAGUGAACAAGAGCUGCUAUAGGUUCUCAAGCCUGGGAAUGACGUAAUAAAACUAUACUGCAAUUGACAGACUGUUCUUCCAAAAAGUGCCUCUAUCAUUACAGUCUUCAGCUGUAGCCACUUGUCUCAGUUACUGCUUUCACUUGUCCAACAUUUCUGGAGCAUCUUGUAGGUGCCAGGCCCUGGGUUAUGCCUCCCUCAAAGAGCAGCAGAUAAGUUGGUGGUAUUUACUGAGCAUGUAUUGAUGCUGGGCCCUGUGCUGAGUGCUGUCCAACAUUAACUCACCUAAUCUGCACGACUAACUCCACAAGGCAGAUACUGUUAUUUUCCUCAUUUUACAGAUAAGGAAACUGAGGCUUAGAAAGAUUAAGUGAUGUGUCCAGAUUGUAAAGCUAGAAACUGGGAGAGCUUGGAUUUGAACCCAGGUCUGACUCCAGAGUUUACAUUUGUUGUCACAGUACUAUCGUCCCCACAAGAGUCAAGAAAACCCAUGGCAUGAGGUCACAGUGCCCAAACUGAGUCCUCCAGAGCAAAGAGCAACCAGCCAGGGAAGGAGGAGAGGAGGGGACAGUCCAGGCAGAGGGAGCAAGAGGAGCAAAGGCAUGGAGGGAAGAGGGCCUGGCAUCGUCAGGGAAUGUGACUAGCUGAGUCUGGUGGGAGCAAACGGGCCCAGGAGGUGGUUAGUGGAGGGACAGGCUGAGAGAGGGGCAGGGGCCAGCUCGUGGGCUUCUCCCUGAGUUGGUGAGCCACAGCUGAGGUGGGGACACUGUGCUAUGCCAUCACAGCACAGCCAGCCUCUCUGGAGAAGAGCUAAAUCUGGUGCCACACUGUAUUCACCCUGCAAAGCCCAAGCUUCUCCAUGUCCUGGCAGGGGGCCAUGUUAGGGCUGGCCACCCGGGGUGUAACUGAGCCCAGAAACACCCAGCAGCAGGGUGGAGUUAGAACCGCACCUCUGACACUUACUAGCCGCGGGUCUUUGGUUGAGCUCUUAACCUCCCUGGGCCUCAGUUUGUGAAAAAGAGCCUGGCAGCAACAUGGCUGCCUUAUAGAACUGUGAGAAUUCGCUGCCUAACACAGUAACCCGUCUCAAAACAUUUACACCCUCCUUUUUGCGUUUGGGAUCCUGGAACGUGGUGAUGUUCGUAACCUAUGAGCAGCUGAAACGGGCCCUGAUGAAAGUCCAGAUGUUACGGGAAUCACCGUUUUGAACAAGACAAGAAGGCCACUGGUAGCUAACGUGUCCGAAACCAGUUAAGAAUGGAAGAAAACGGUGCAUCCACGCACACAUGGACACAGACCCACACAUGUUUACAGAACUGUUGUUUACUUGUUGCUGAUUCAAGAAACAGAAGUAGAAGAGGAGGAGGGAUUCUGGUCUUCACUGCCAUGCCUCAAGAACACCUUUGUUUUGCACUGACAAGAUGGAAAAUAAAUUAUAUUAAUUUUUGAAACCCAUUAGGCAUGCCUAAUAUUUAGGCAAGAGAAAAUAAACCAAGAUAGAUCCAUUUGGACAAAAUGGAAGGUUGGAGACGUGUAUCCCCGUGAAAUCUGGUUAGAUAAUGAAUGAUAAGCAGGAAGGAUGGCAAGCACGGGACAGGAGGGGCCCACAAUGGAGUGGGAGAUCAGCCACGGAGCCUGGAGGGAUGCCACCCAGCAACACAGAGCUGGCGACUGCAGCUGCACCAUCACACAUGCAUCAUCAGCCUAUUUGUAAUAUGUCUGCCACAGAGAGUCCUUUGGGAUUCUAGGAAACCCAAGGAACAAGAGAAAAAACUAGAGCCUGUGCUAAAGAAGCCCUGCUGGGCCCAUGUGAGGCUGGGGCUCGUAAAUAUUCCCUGACGACACUGAAGAAUCAAGAGGGCAGCCCCCACUUUCCUACAAAAUGGAGGGAGCCAUCCCUUCCCUGUCCACCUCACCAGGGGUGCUAUGACAUGCAAGUGAGAAGCUGGGCAUGAACGCACUUUAUAAAAGCAAAAGCUCUGUGUAAAUCUAACUACAAGGACAAUGCCUUGGGAGAGAUUUUGUCGGGACAGAGAGGAGUUGCCAGGGAAGAAGGUUUGAAAGAUACGGUUGUCUAGAGGUGAGACCAAAGGAUCCAGAGACUUGGGGACCAGAGGUGACAGUGGAUGACGUGAAGCCACAGGAGCCCCACCCCCAUGCAGCCUCUUCCCCACCCCCCCCACCACGUGCUCAAUCAUGAGUACCUCAAAGGAUUGUUGGGCUUGGGGGAAAAGAGGUGGAUUCCUGGGCAAGAACCUAAAGUAGCAGGACUCGGAAUUCUCGGGAAAUUAUUAUGACUCAAUAAAAGAAUUCACACCUUAGGUGUGGGAGUAAGAACAGCCA